UACGUAGGUGGCAAGCGUUGUCCGGAUUUACUGGGCGUAAAGGGCGCGCAGGCGGCCGAUUAAGUCUGAUGUGAAAUCCCACGGCUUAACCGUGGAAGGUCAUUGGAAACUGAUUGGCUUGAGUGCAGAAGAGGAGAGUGGAAUUCCACGUGUAGCGGUGAAAUGCGUAGAUAUGUGGAGGAACACCAGUGGCGAAGGCGGCUCUCUGGUCUGCAACUGACGCUGAGGCGCGAAAGCGUGGGGAGCAAACAGG
rnacentral:rRNA from 1 species